rnacentral:rRNA from 1 species
AUGAAUUUCUGGGCCUGGAACUGUCGGGGGUUGGGAUUGACCUCGACAGUGGGUGAACUUAGGGAUCUCAUUCGAUCCCACAAUCCUUCGGUGGUUUUUCUUUGUGAAACUCUGAAAUCUGGCAGGGCAAUGGACAGACUCAAGUGGAGUAUGGGUUUCAAACAAGGUGUGUCAGUGGACUGUGUUGGCAGGAGUGGGGGCCUUGCAUUGUGGUGGCGGGAUGAUAUUAAGGUGUCAGUGAGGCCGUGGUGCCAAUACUACAUUGAUGCUGAGAUGAGUUGGGAGGGGAAGAACUAUAGAGUCACUGGAUUCUAUGGUGAACCAAAAACAGAACUUCGCAAUCGAUCCUGGGAUGCCAUACGAUAUUUGCGUGCGCAAGAUAAUCUCCCAUGGAUAUGCCUUGGUGAUUUUAAUGAGGCUAUGUUUUUGUCGGACCAGCGGGGCGGGAACCAACGUCCCACUACAAGAAAUAUGUCAACUAGUGACCUUCUGUCAGUGACCCUGGAAGAAUUGGUCAUAGAUCUAUGA